UGAGUAACCUGCCCUUAACUCUGGGAUAAGCCUGGGAAACUGGGUCUAAUACCGGAUAUGACUCCUCAUCGCAUGGUGGGGGGUGGAAAGCUUUUUGUGGUUUUGGAUGGACUCGCGGCCUAUCAGCUUGUUGGUGAGGUAAUGGCUCACCAAGGCGACGACGGCUAGCCGGCUGAGAGGGUGACCGGCCACACUGGGACUGAGACACGGCCCAGACUCCGUACGGGAGCAG
rnacentral:rRNA from 1 species